rnacentral:rRNA from 1 species
GACGAACGCUGGCGGCGUGCUUAACACAUGCAAGUCGAACGGAAAGGCCCUGCUCUUGUGGGGUGCUCGAGUGGCGAAGGGGAGAGUAACACAAGAGUAAACUGCCCUUGACUUUGGGAUAACAUCACGAAACUGGGGCGAAUACCGGACAGGAGAUUCUGCUUCUUUGUGGUGAUUGGUAAGUUACGGCGGUUGGGGAUGGACUCGCGGCGUCCCAGCUGUAUGGUGGGGUUGUGGCUUACAAGGGCUUUGAAGGGUAGACGGCCUGAGAGGGUGAGCGGCCACAUUGGGACUGAGAUACGGGCCAGACGUGUACGGUAUGCAGCAGUGGGGAAUAUUGCGCAGUGGGCGGGCGCCGUAUGCGGCAACGCCGCGUGCGUUAUGACCGUCUUCGGGUUGUAAACCGCUUUCGCCUGUGAUGUAGCGUGAUUGACGGUAACGGGUAAAGAAGCACCGGCUAACUACGUG